GGACUACAGGGGUAUCUAAUCCCGUUUGCUCCCCUGGCUUUCGCGCUGUCAGCGUCAGUGUCGGCCCAGCAACCCGUCUUCACCUCAGGUGUUCCUCUUGAUAUCUACGCAUUUCACCGCUACACCAAGAAUUCCGAUUGCCCCUUCCGCACUCAAGCAGAUCAGUAUCAGCUGACAGUUCCGAGUUAAGCUCGGAGAUUUCACAGCUGACUUAAUUUGCCGCCUACGCGCCCUUUACGCCCAGUAAAUCCGAACAACGCUUGCUCCCUACGUAUUACCGCGGCUGCUGGCAC
rnacentral:rRNA from 1 species